GAUGAACGCUAGCUACAGGCUUAACACAUGCAAGUCGAGGGACCGGCGCACGGGUGAGUAACACGUAUCCAACCUGCCCUUUACUCGGGGAUAGCCUUUCGAAAGAAAGAUUAAUACCCGUAGUAAAGGAUGGGGAUGCGUUCCAUUAGGUUGUUGGUGAGGUAACGGCUAAACAAGCCUUCGAUGGAAAGGGGUUCUGAGAGGAAGGGACCCCACAUCGGAACUGAGGCACGGGCCAAAAGCCUACGGGAGGCAGAAGUGAGGAAUAUUGGUCAAUGGGCGUUAGCCUGAACCAGCCAAGUAGCGUGAAGGAUGAAUGGUUAUGGGUCGUAAACUGCUUUUAUAUAAGAAUAUGUAUUAUAUGAAUAAGGAUCGGCUAACUCCGUGCCAGCAGCCGCGGUAAUAC
rnacentral:rRNA from 1 species